UACGUAGGGGGCAAGCGUUGUCCGGAUUUAUUGGGCGUAAAGAGCUCGUAGGCGGCUUGUCGCGUCGGAUGUGAAAGCCCGGGGCUUAACCCCGGGUCUGCAUUCGAUACGGGCUAGCUAGAGUGUGGUAGGGGAGAUCGGAAUUCCUGGUGUAGCGGUGAAAUGCGCAGAUAUCAGGAGGAACACCGGUGGCGAAGGCGGAUCUCUGGGCCAUUACUGACGCUGAGGAGCGAAAGCGUGGGGAGCGAACAGG
rnacentral:rRNA from 1 species